rnacentral:rRNA from 1 species
AGGGGCAGCAUGGUCUUAGCUUGCUAAGGCUGAUGGCGACCGGCGCACGGGUGAGUAACACGUAUCCAACCUGCCGUCUACUCUUGGCCAGCCUUCUGAAAGGAAGAUUAAUCCAGGAUGGCAUCAUGAGUUCACAUGUCCGCAUGAUUAAAGGUAUUUUCCAGUAGACGAUGGGGAUGCGUUCCAUUAGAUAGUAGGCGGGGUAACGGCCCACCUAGUCAACGAUGGAUAGGGGUUCUGAGAGGAAGGUCCCCCACAUUGGAACUGAGACACGGUCCAAACUCCUACGGGAGGCAGCAGUGAGGAAUAUUGGUCAAUGGGCGAUGGCCUGAACCAGCCAAGUAGCGUGAAGGAUGACUGCCCUAUGGGUUGUAAACUUCUUUUAUAAAGGAAUAAAGUCGGGUAUGCAUACCCGUUUGCAUGUACUUUAUGAAUAAGGAUCGGCUAACUCCGUGCCAGCAGCCGCGGUAAUACGGAGGAUCCGAGCGUUAUCCGGAUUUAUUGGGUUUAAAGGGAGCGUAGAUGGAUGUUUAAGUCAGUUGUGAAAGUUUGCGGCUCAACCGUAAAAUUGCAGUUGAUACUGGAUGUCUUGAGUGCAGUUGAGGCAGGCGGAAUUCGUGGUGUAGCGGUGA